rnacentral:rRNA from 1 species
AUUGAACGCUGGCGGCAGGCUUAACACAUGCAAGUCGAGCGGAGCGAGGGUGCUUGCUACCGGACCUAGCGGCGGACGGGUGAGUAAUGCUUAGGAAUCUGCCUAUUAGUGGGGGACAACAUCUCGAAAGGGAUGCUAAUACCGCAUACGUCCUACGGGAGAAAGCAGGGGAUCUCCGGACCUUGCGCUAAUAGAUGAACCUAAGUCGGAUUAGCUAGAUGGUGGGGUAAAGGCCUACCAAGGCGACGAUCUGUAGCGGGUCUGAGAGGAUGAUCCGCCACACUGGGACUGAGACACGGCCCAGACUCCUACGGGAGGCAGCAGUGGGGAAUAUUGGACAAUGGGGGGAACCCUGAUCCAGCCAUGCCGCGUGUGUGAAGAAGGCCUUAUGGUUGUAAAGCACUUUAAGCGAGGAGGAGGCUACUCUAGUUAAUACCUAGGGAUAGUGGACGUUACUCGCAGAAUAAGCACCGGCUAACUCUGUGCCAGCCGCCACAGUAA